CCUACGGGAGGCAGCAGUGGGGAAUAUUGCACAAUGGGCGAAAGCCUGAUGCAGCAACGCCGCGUGAGCGAUGAAGGCCUUCGGGUCGUAAAGCUCUGUCCUCAAAGAAGAUAAUGACGGUACUUGAGGAGGAAGCCCCGGCUAAUUACGUGCCAGCAGCCGCGGUAAUACGUAGGGGGCUAGCGUUAUCCGGAAUUACUGGGCGUAAGGGGUGCGUAGGUGGUUUCUUAAGUCAGAGGUGAAAGGCUACGGCUCAACCGUAGUAAGCCUUUGAAACUGGGAAACUUGAGUGCAGGAGAGGAGAGUGGAAUUCCUAGUGUAGCGGUGAAAUGCGUAGAUAUUAGGAGGAACACCAGUUGCGAAGGCGGCUCUCUGGACUGUAACUGACACUGAGGCACGAAAGCGUGGGGAGCAAACAGGAUUAGAUACCCUUGUAGUC
rnacentral:rRNA from 1 species